UAUCGUAGGCGGUUAAGUAAGUAGUCAGUUAAAGCCUUUGGCUCAACCAAAGAAGUGCUGAUUAAACUGCUUGACUAGAGGUCGUUAGGGGGCACUGGAAUUCCUGGUGGAGGGGUGGAAUCCAUUGAUAUCAGGAAGAACACCGAGGGCGAAGGCAGGUGCCUGGGACGAUUCUGACGCUGAUGAACGAAAGCUAGGGGAGCGAAAG
rnacentral:rRNA from 1 species